GCCUUGAUGGCGGAAUUGGUAGACGCGCUGGAUUUCUGGCAACAGAGUGCGGGUUCGAUUCCCGCUCAAGGUACAA
rnacentral:tRNA from 1 species